AGCAACAGGGAUUGCCUCAGUAACGGCGAGUGAAGCGGCAACAGCUCAAAUUUGAAAUCUGGCCGCAAGGUCCGAGUUGUAAUUUGUAGAGGAUGCUUUUGGCGAGGUGACUUCCGAGUUCCCUGGAACGGGACGCCAUAGAGGGUGAGAGCCCCGUACGGUCGUGCCACCGAGCCUCUGUAAAGCUCCUUCGACGAGUCGAGUAGUUUGGGAAUGCUGCUCUAAAUGGGAGGUGUACGUCUUCUAAAGCUAAAUACCGGCCAGAGACCGAUAGCGCACAAGUAGAGUGAUCGAAAGAUGAAAAGCACUUUGAAAAGAGGGUUAAAAAGUACGUGAAAUUGUUGAAAGGGAAGCAUUCAUGACCAGACUUGGGCUUGGUUGAACAUCCGGCGUUCUCGCCGGUGCACUCUGCCAGCUCAGGCCAGCAUCAGUUUGCCCCGGGGGACAAAGGCGGCGGGAAUGUGGCUCCCUACGGGGAGUGUUAUAGCCCGUCGUGUAAUGCCCUGGGGUGGACUGAGGUUCGCGCUUCGGCACGGAUGCUGGCGUAAUGGUCAUCAAUGACCCGUCUUGAAACACGGACCAAGGAGUCGUCUUCGUAUGCGAGUGUUCGGGUGUCAAACCCCUACGCGUAAUGAAAGUGAACGUAGGUGAGAGCUUCGGCGCAUCACCGACCGAUCCUGAUGUUCUCGGAUGGAUUUGAGUAAGAGCAUACGGGGCCGGACCCGAAAGAAGGUGAACUAUGCCUGUAUAGGGUGAAGCCAGAGGAAACUCUGGUGGAGGCUCGCAGCGGUUCUGACGU
rnacentral:rRNA from 1 species